UGCCAGCAGCCGCGGUAACACGGGGGGCGCAAGCGUUAUUCGGAAUUAUUGGGCGUAAAGGGCGCGUAGGCGGCCUGAUAAGUCAGAUGUGAAAGCCCGGGGCUCAACCCCGGAAGUGCAUUUGAAACUGUCUGGCUUGAGUAUGGUAGAGGGAAGUGGAAUUCCUGGUGUAGCGGUGAAAUGCGUAGAUAUCAGGAGGAACACCGGUGGCGAAGGCGACUUCCUGGACCAAUACUGACGCUGAGGCGCGAAAGCUAGGGGAGCAAACGGGAUUAGAUA
rnacentral:rRNA from 1 species